AUUAAGUUUAAUUUAAUAUAGGAUCUGCUCAAUGAUUUAUUAAAUAGCUGCAGUAUUUUGACUGUGCAAAGGUAGCAUAAUAAUUAGUCUUUUAAUUGAGGACUUGUAUGAAAGAUUUGAUGAGAAAUAAACUUUAUUAUCUAUAUAAUUAAAAUUUUAUUUUUAAGUAAAAAAGCUUAAAUUAAUUAAAGGGACGAUAAGACCCUAUAAAACUUUAUAAAUAUUAAUUUUAAUUUUUUUGGAUUAAAUAUAUAUAUUAAUUUUAUUAUUUAUUUUAUUGGGGUGAUAAAAAAAAUUAUUAAACUUUUUUUAAAAUUUUACAUUAUUUAAUGGUUAUUUGAAUUAAAAUUUUUAAUUAAAAGAAAAAGUUACUUUAGGGAUAACAGCGUAAUUAAUUUUUUAAGUUCAAAUUUAAAAAUUAGUUUGCGACCUCGAUGUUGAAUUAAGAUUAAUCUUAGGUGCAAAAUUUUAAGUAUUAGGUCUGUUCGACCUUUAAAUUCUUACGUGA
rnacentral:rRNA from 1 species